rnacentral:lncRNA from 1 species
CCGAACCAUCGGCCGACAGGCCGAUCGGGCCCCGACCAAAGAGAGGCUAAAAGCCCACGCGACUGUCGUCGCGACUUCCGACCAGGCUACGGCCGGUCGAGGGAUAUUCGGCUUACCACCGUCUAUCACACGACGCGACCUUAGUCGCACCCACGACUUGCCGACCGACCCGCGGCCGGCUGAACGACAUUCGGCUUACUACC